GUGCCAGCCGCCGCGGUAAUACGUAGGGGGCGAGCGUUGUCCGGAAUCACUGGGCGUAAAGGGCGUGUAGGCGGUUGCUCGUGUUGGGUGUGAAAGGCCACGGCUCAACUGUGGCAUGGCACUCGAAACUGGGCGACUUGAGGGUAGUAGAGGAGAGCGGAAUUCCCGGUGUAGCGGUAAAAUGCGUAGAUAUCGGGAGGAACACCAGUGGCGAAGGCGGCUCUCUGGGCUAUCCCUGACGCUGAGGCGCGAAAGCUAGGGGAGCGAACGGGAUUAGAUACCCCGGUAGUCCUAGCUGUAAACGAUGGGUACUAGGUGUAGGGGGUAUCGACCCCUUCUGUGCCGGAGUUAACGCAAUAAGUACCCCGCCUGGGGAGUACGGCCGCAAGGUUGAAACUCAAAGGAAUUGACGGGGGCCCGCACAAGCAGUGGAGCAUGUGGUUUAAUUCGAAGCAACGCGUAGAACCUUACCAGGGCUUGACAUCCUCUGGAGGCACGGGAAACCGUGCUGGCCUACCGAUGAGGUAGGACAGGGAGACAGGUGGUGCAUGGUUGUCGCCAGCUCGUGUCGUGAGAUGUUGGGUUAAGUCCCGCAACGAGCGCAACCCCCGUCCUCUGUUGCCAGCGCGUGGUGGCGGGCACUCAGAGGAGACUGCCGGAGACGAUUCGGAGGAAGGUGGGGAUGACGUCAAAUCAUCAUGCCCCUGAUGCCCUGGGCGACACACGUGCUACAAUGGCCGGUACAACGGGCUGCGAAGCCGCGAGGCGGAGCCAAUCCCUGAAAGCCGGUCUCAGUUCGGAUCGCAGGCUGCAACUCGCCUGCGUGAAGGCGGAAUUGCUAGUAAUCGCGGAUCAGAACGCCGCGGUGAAUACGUUCUCGGGCCUUGUACACACCGCCCGUCACACCACGAAAGUCGGCAACACCCGAAGUCGGUGAGCCA
rnacentral:rRNA from 1 species